rnacentral:rRNA from 1 species
UACGUAGGGCGCAAGCGUUGUCCGGAAUUAUUGGGCGUAAAGAGCUCGUAGGCGGUUUGUCGCGUCUGCUGUGAAAACCUGAGGCUCAACCUCGGGCUUGCAGUGGGUACGGGCAGACUAGAGUGCGGUAGGGGUGACUGGAAUUCCUGGUGUAGCGGUGGAAUGCGCAGAUAUCAGGAGGAACACCGAUGGCGAAGGCAGGUCACUGGGCCGCAACUGACGCUGAGGAGCGGAAAGCAUGGGGAGCGAAC